rnacentral:misc_RNA from 1 species
UCUGAGUUUUCUUAGAAUUUAAUGGCUUGACUUUGAGUUCGAUAAAGUUACUUUCUGAUGGUUUUAUAGAAGUUUUUGAGGGUGAUACGCUCGCUAUCUCUUUUCGUAUUAUAUUUGAAACGUUCACAAAAUUCGUGGAACCUUGCUUUUGUAUUCUUGCCGAGUCAACCGUGAUAUUAGGCAGGGGAUAAACGUCGCCUUUUCUUUCGUCGUUCAAUUUCCUAGUUUCUGCCUCUUCUGAAAGUUCUUUGAUAUUAGUGUUGUUUAUUUUGGCUGGGGAUUCGGGAGAUUUUUCACUCAUGAUUUCGUCUGUGCUGCCGUGCGUCCUCUUGCUACUUAAAGUAACAUCGUCUUUUAUCACAGCAACGGAACAGUGUUUGUAUUGGAAGGUUAUUGCUCUUGCUCUUUUCCUAAUAUCUUUCUCUAUUCCCGGGUCGCUUAGACGAUUCCGCGACGGCGAUACAAAUCUCCAAUCCUGGUGGUGGUUUCUGAUGUUGUUACUAUCGUAUAGGACGAGUCUUGUUUCCAUUAUAAUUAUUCGGAGGUGUCGGACGAUUCUGCGUCGGCGGCACGAAUCUUCGAUCCUGGCGGUUAUUUCCGUUGAUAUUACGGUUGUUGUUACAAUUGUUGUCGUUGUUAGGGCGAGAGCCGUUCCAGUUAUAAUUGUUUGGGUUUCCUAGUCGUUGACAUCGCGAUCUAUUAUUUACUUCUUUCAAUUCUCUUGUAGCUCUCACGGCUUGGCAAAACGCGUCGUCUAGGGAUUGAUAUCCGGCUAAUUUUACCCGCAUAAAUACCUCGUUUGGGAGUCCUUUAACGAAGGCUUCUGCCGUGUCCCAAUCUAUAGUGUCUUGGACAUCCGCGGACACGGUAUCAAAUCCGCAUCUUUCCUCAUCCAUUAUUGCUAGCCUGAGAUUUUUGACGCGAUCUAUGUAAUCUAGGAUCUCUUCCCCCAGUCGUUGAAAUACCGUCGCUAGUUCACCUCUGUAUUCGUUAAUUGUUUUUCCCGGACCGAACAUAUUUUUUAACCUAUUUCCGAAAUCGUUCAGGGUUAAUACUACACCGUCCUCUACGGCGAGAAACGCGUGUCCGCGUAGUUUGUUCAUCAAUAAUUUAACUAAGUUAUGUUGAGUCAUGGACACAAAAGCGUCCGCGCCUGUGCGAACUGUGUGAGUAUGUGUUUUUAGUAUUCUAUCUCGUUUCGCAUGUUGUUUGUAUCCUUAAACUUGUGAAUUUGUUUUAGCGCAAGAAGAGGAAGAUAUGUGAAUGGUACGAGAUGACGUGAUCGACGUGCGUGUGUGAAUAUGUGCGAAGGAUGAUGCUGAAGGGGCGGUUUUCCACCCAAGUAGGCACAGUGGCACCUUCGUUGGCGUCGUGUCCUGAUGAUCUUUUGACAAUUUGGUUUUAUUUGACAAUAUGAGACAUAUUUUGCUCCUUGUGGAUUUAUAUGUCCAUAUUUGCUAUAUAUUAAAUCGUGUAUAUUUUAUAUUACUUUCUUGUUACGCAGAACAAUCUUGUAUACAAUUUUCACUUUUAUUAGAAUGCUGAUGUAGUGUAGUAUAUUUUAUUUCUUUUAUAUUUUAUUAUAUUACCAAUUAUUCAGAUUCACGAAGUAGGUCACACACACAGAUAUGCAUACACGUGUGUGUAUAUACAUGUGUUUUCGCAGAGAAAUCUCAUACAUUUUAAUCGCGGCUUGUUUUAUUUAUUGGU